GCUAUAUAUUCACCCUAAGAAUAACCCAAAUUCGGGGGUUCAGAAUAAGCCCAACCUAGGCUGCAACUUCGUCCGUAGGCCUCUCUCGAUGAUUGUGCUCUGCAAAUCGAUCAUCUGUUUGGUUGCAAGGAAAAUCAAGGGAAAGGUGUACUUGUGGUGCUGUGGUUUUGGGGAAGAUUUUCUCCAGCUUUAACUCUGUUUCGCCAAAGAAACAAUCAACAAUCACUAGAACAAGCUGAAGUUCCAAUGGUCUGAUGACACCACCCUCCUCCUUUGUUCCGGGCUUGGGACCGGCUGCGUAGAAGAAUUGAUGCUUGAUGCAUGACACAGGCAGAGUUAUCACGUCAUUGUAAGUUGUAGACUAAGAGACUGUAAAAGAGGUUAAACUAAACACACACACAAACCACGCACACACACACAAACCACGCACACACACACACACACGGGCAUGGACUCUAGUGCAUCUUCUGUCGAAAUCACAUGAAUGAGAUGAUAAAGGGUAGCAAGCAGGAGCAGCCACCUGCCAACAACCAGAUCCAAGCGUAGCUUUGAGGGACUAGUAGACCUGCUGAUAUUAUGCAGACGCCAAUUGCAAGAAAAAGAGUACCGAGUUUUUCCAAGAGAAGUGCAAAUCUUGGGAAUGCAUUCUUAAGGAAAACUCCAGCAUACGAAACUGCAAAGCUGAUCAACACAACAGCAACAAAUAGACCUGUGGGAAGCGGAGAAGAUCGAGUGGGAUCACUGAUGGACAAAGGUAAAAUUGCCUGAAAAGCGAGAACAAGGUUUAUCUUCCCAAGAUUCUGAGGGCUGUUGGCUGGUUGAGGCCUAGGGCUAUGCAUUUUGAUGGUAAUUGACUGGAAUUCUAAUUGCGUGGCUAAUCCCCAUUCCCUGGUAAGACUACUCAUAUCCAGGGAGGUUUCUUGUUGUGUGGCUGAAUCCAUUGGGGGGAAACAAUAAGGAUUUGGUCAAUGUUCUUCAAGUGGUUUCCCUAAGUUCCAUUCAAUCGGGGAGUUCCCUUUUUAUAUACGCUGCAUGGAGAAUUCUGGAAUAUAGAGGGGGGGGAAGUUUCACUGAUUCUCCUGCAAGUUUUUUUCUUGAAAAAAAGAAAGUAGAUUUUGUGGAAAUUUUGAUCAAUUGGUGUGGAAAUGCUUUUAAAGUUUAGUUAUCUAUAUAACUAUAUAUUGGUUUAAAAAAGACAAUCAUAGCCCUUUGGCCCCACAUCCCACUUUAGUCCCUUUAGGGAAAUUUCUCAAACGACUUGGGGAGCAAGUUGUUCCCUAACGUAAUUUCCAGGAAAUUUCCUAAACGCUCCUACUUAUAAGAUGUGCAAAGUAGCUAUAAUGAGCUGAGAUAUUCCUUCUUCCUCUCUGAAUGUAACGAACAUGAAGGAGAUGAUGAAAUCAGACCAAAAUGCUUUCGUCCCUCCGUUGACAAUACUUUUGAAGCCCAUUUUGUAUUUGUCUUUGAACACUCUCUCAAUCUUGUUGAUAUUAUCUGGAAGAAUUGAGGGAGGGGGGGUUGGUUUGAUUUUCGAUGGCUUAUCCAAUCCUUCCUCUGCCUUUGAUGCCUUCGUUUUGUCCAUUACCUUUGCUUUCUUAGGUGCUUUGGGUGCUCUUUUGAUUCCUCAUAAACCCAACUUAGCUACCUUUUAUACCUUGUAUUCUGUGGCUUCCAUGGCUUCUGCUUUGCUCCUGCUGAUUUGGGGGCUCUAUUACUCAUUCGGUCAUGGCAGAUACUUUACUACUGCCUAGAAUAUGAUAUGAUUGUCCUUUAAUAUUAUAUUUUUUCUUUCUUAUGUAUUCCCUCUCCAUCAUGUUAUCAUACAAGAAUGUCAAAUAAGAACGAUUUCAUCAUUUUGUACUUCA